GAUGAACGCUGGCGGCGUGCCUAAUACAUGCAAGUCGAGCGAACGGACGAUAAGCUUGCUUCUCUGAUGUUAGCGGCGGACGGGUGAGUAACACGUGGAUAACCUACCUAUAAGACUGGGAUAACUUCGGGAAACCGGAGCUAAUACCGGAUAAUAUUUUGAACCGCAUGGUUCAAAAGUGAAAGACGGUCUUGCUGUCACUUAUAGAUGGAUCCGCGCUGCAUUAGCUAGUUGGUAAGGUAACGGCUUACCAAGGCAACGAUGCAUAGCCGACCUGAGAGGGUGAUCGGCCACACUGGAACUGAGACACGGUCCAGACUCCUACGGGAGGCAGCAGUAGGGAAUCUUCCGCAAUGGGCGAAAGCCUGACGGAGCAACGCCGCGUGAGUGGUGAAGGUCUUCGGAUCGUAAAACUCUGUUAUUAGGGAAGAACAUAUGUGUAAGUAACUGUGCACAUCUUGACGGUACCUAAUCAGAAAGCCCCGGCUAACUACGUG
rnacentral:rRNA from 1 species